rnacentral:rRNA from 1 species
AUUGCAGGGGAUUUCAACCAAAUAUACCGUGCAAGAGACAAGAAUAAAAGGCAUGUUAAGCGUAGUCGAAUAAAUCGGUUCCAAACCACCCUUCAAAGUUGUGAUCUUAAAGAGAUACACUUGCAAAACAGAAGGUUGACCUAGAGCAAUGAGAGGGAAAACCCUACAAUGUGCAAACUUGACUCAUUUUUCUGCAACGCCGGAUGGGACACCUAUUUCAACACUCAUUUGCUACACGCCCUCUCGUCAUCUCUGUCCGAUCAUUGUCCACUCCUUCUCGCCGAUGACAAGGGACCACGGAGACCGCGAACUUUCAAGUUUGAAAACUUUUGGAUCUCUAUGCCCAGUUUCAUGGAAGUGGUAAAUAAGGCAUGGAACGAGCCCCUCGAGCACUCCGAGCCAUAUCAAGUCUUAUUCCAUAAGCUCAAGAAGGUGGCCCUCCGACUCUCAGAGUGGAGUAGGGGCCUCUUCUUGAAGGCAAAAGUUCACCUUCAUGCCGCUCUCUUGGUGAUUCUCCGCCUCGACAUUGCUCAAGAGAAUCGGCAACUCUCCCCUGAUGAGAGGGACCUU